rnacentral:rRNA from 1 species
ACUCCUACGGGAGGCAGCAGUGGGGAAUUUUGGACAAUGGGCGCAAGCCUGAUCCAGCAAUGCCGCGUGCAGGAUGAAGGCCUUCGGGUUGUAAACUGCUUUUGUACGGAACGAAACGGUGGGCUCUAAUACAGUUUGCUAAUGACGGUACCGUAAGAAUAAGCACCGGCUAACUACGUGCCAGCAGCCGCGGUAAUAC